rnacentral:rRNA from 1 species
AGUAACACGUGGGUAACCUGCCUGUAAGACUGGGAUAACUCCGGGAAACCGGGGCUAAUACCGGAUGCUUGAUUGAACCGCAUGGUUCAAUUAUAAAAGGUGGCUUUUAGCUACCACUUACAGAUGGACCCGCGGCGCAUUAGCUAGUUGGUGAGGUAACGGCUCACCAAGGCAACGAUGCGUAGCCAACCUGAAAGGGUGAUCGGCCACACUGGGACUGAAACACGGCCCAAACUCCUACGGGAGGCAGCAGUAGGGAAUCUUCCGCAAUGGACGAAAGUCUGACGGACCAACGCCGCGUGAGUGAUGAAGGUUUUCGGAUCGUAAAACUCUGUUGUUAGGGAAGAACAAGUACCGUUCGAAUAGGGCGGUACCUUGACGGUACCUAACCAGAAAGCCA